CCUACGGGAGGCAGCAGUGGGAAUAUUGGACAAUGGGCGAAAGCCUGAUCCAGCCAUGCCGCGUGUGUGAAGAAGGCCUUCGGGUUGUAAAGCACUUUCAGUGGGGAAGAAAGCCUUGGGGCUAAUACCCUCGAGGAAGGACAUCACCCACAGAAGAAGCACCGGCUAACUCCGUGCCAGCAGCCGCGGUAAUACGGAGGGUGCGAGCGUUAAUCGGAAUUACUGGGCGUAAAGCGCGCGUAGGCGGUCUGAUAAGCCGGUUGUGAAAGCCCCGGGCUCAACCUGGGAACGGCAUCCGGAACUGUCAGGCUAGAGUGCAGGAGAGGAAGGUAGAAUUCCCGGUGUAGCGGUGAAAUGCGUAGAGAUCGGGAGGAAUACCAGUGGCGAAGGCGGCCUUCUGGACUGACACUGACGCUGAGGUGCGAAAGCGUGGGUAGCAAACAGGAUUAGAUACCCGAGUAGUC
rnacentral:rRNA from 1 species